AUGGCAGGCGAUUUCAAUGAGUGUAUGUGGCAGGAAGAGCAUUAUUCUAGAACGUGUAGAAAUAAAAAACAAAUGUUUGAUUUUAGAGAAAUCCUAUCCCACUGUGAUCUUCAUGACUUAGGUUUCUUAGGGGCGCCGUGGACUUUCGACAAUGGCCAAGAAGGCGAUCGUAAUCUUAAAGUUAGACUUGAUAGGGCGGUGGCGAACCCAGAAUGGAUGAAUAUCUUCCCAAACUAUCAGGUUAACCACAUAGUUAGUACAGCUUCAGAUCAUUGCCCCAUUGAGGUGUGUUGUGUGCAGCAACCUGUACACCAUCCAGUCAGUCAACAGCAUAGAUAUGAAGCUUUCUGGGAAAAGGAUAACAAAUUAACUGAAGAAGUUGAGUUGGCUUGGUCAAAGCAUCGACCAGCCAGAGAUUUAGGAGAUAUUACAGCAAACCUAUCAGGUGUGAUGAGCUCUAUUCACGACUGGAGCAAAAGGAAUUUUGGUUCUAUCACAAAGAAAAUAAAGGACCUUCAGAAUAAAAUUCAGGCUAUCAGUCACCGUAGUGACAGUUUUGGUAAUUCUGAGCGAAAGCGGCUAAGAAAGGAACUAGAUGACCUACAAGAUAAAGAAGAGAUUGCUUGGCGGCAAAGAUCAAGAGUGGAGUGGUUGAAGGAGGGUGAUCGAAAUACAAAUUAUUUUCAUCGAAAAGCUACCUGGCGCGCAAAGAAAAACUCUAUCCGGAAGCUUCAAGAUGAGGCGGAUAACAUUAUUGACAAAAAAGAGGAUUUGGAAGACAUGGCCACAAGUUUUUUCCAGGAGCUCUUCACCAAAGAUAAUCAGAUCGAACCUAAGAUUAUUCUUGACCAUGUCCAAGGCCGGGUUAAUGCUGCUAUGAAUGAUACGUUAUGUAAAGAAUUCACCGAUGAUGAGAUUGCAAAUGCUUUAUUCCAAAUCGGGCCACUAAAAGCACCUGGGGCAGAUGGCUUCCCGGCUCGUUUUUUCCAGAGACACUGGGCUACAUUAAAAGAUGAUAUUAUUCGGGUUGUAAAGAAAUUUUUUUCGGAUGGAGUUAUGCCGGAUGGGGUGAAUGAUACAGUUAUUGUCCUUAUUCCAAAGAAGAAAGAUCCAGUUAAUUUGAAGGAUUUCAGACCAAUAAGUUUAUGCAAUAUUGUUUAUAAAAUCAUCGCUAAGUGUCUGGUAAAUCGCCUUAGACCUUUCCUCGAGGAUAUUAUAUCCCCCACCCAAAGUGCAUUCAUUCCUGGGAGGAUGAUUACAGAUAACGCCUUAAUAGCCUUUGAGUGUAUAAAUACCAUGCAAAAGUCAUGUGAUGCCAAAGGAUCGUUUUGCGCUUACAAAUUAGGUCUGACAAAAGCGUAUGAUCGUGUGGACUGGAACUACCUUGAGGGGGUUCUGAGGAAAUUUGGCUUUGUAGACCAAUGGAUCAGUUGGACGAUGAGUUGCGUGACGUCAAUCAGGUAUGCCGUGAGAAUGAACGGGACUAUCCUCCAGUCCUUCUCGCCUUCUCGGGGCCUGCGUCAAGGUGACCCGUAUUCUCCUUACCUAUUCCUGCUCGUCGCCGAUGGUCUCUCUACUCUGCUACAAUCGGAGAUCAACACCGGUCAUAUUCAGGAGUUCAAAAUCUGCAGAGGGGCGCCUGGCAUUUCUCACUUACUAUUCGCGGAUGAUAGCUUGUUAUUCUUUAAGGCGAAUCAGGACCAAGCCUCGAGAAUUAAGAAUGUACUAACGAGGUAUGAAAAGGCUACGGGUCAACUGUUAAGUCCUAGUAAAUGCUCUAUCAUGCUUGGCAAAUCCUGUAGUAAGUAG
rnacentral:rRNA from 1 species